rnacentral:rRNA from 1 species
ACGCUGGCGGCAGGCCUAACACAUGCAAGUCGAGCGGUAGAGAGAAGCUUGCUUCUCUUGAGAGCGGCGGACGGGUGAGUAAUGCCUAGGAAUCUGCCUGGUAGUGGGGGAUAACGUUCGGAAACGGACGCUAAUACCGCAUACGUCCUACGGGAGAAGGCAGGGGACCUUCGGGCCUUGCGCUAUCAGAUGAGCCUAGGUCGGAUUAGCUAGUUGGUGGGGUAAUGGCUCACCAAGGCGACGAUCCGUAACUGGUCUGAGAGGAUGAUCAGUCACACUGGAACUGAGACACGGUCCAGACUCCUACGGGAGGCAGCAGUGGGGAAUAUUGGACAAUGGGCGAAAGCCUGAUCCAGGCAUGCCGCGUGUGUGAAGAAGGUCUUCGGAUUGUAAAGCACUUUAAGUUGGGAGGAAGGGCAGUAAAUUAAUACUUUGCUGUUUUGACGUUACCGACAGAAUAAGCACCGGCUAACUCUGUGCCAGCAGCCGCGGUAAUACAGAGGGUGCAAGCGUUAAUCGGAAUUACUGGGCGUAAAGCGCGCGUAGGUGGUUAGUUAAGUUGGAUGUGAAAUCCCCGGGCUCAACCUGGGAACUGCAUUCAAAACUGACUGACUAGAGUAUGGUAGAGGGUGGUGGAAUUUCCUGUGUAGCGGUGAAAUGCGUAGAUAUAGGAAGGAACACCAGUGGCGAAGGCGACCACCUGGACUGAUACUGACACUGAGGUGCGAAAGCGUGGGGAGCAAAC